UGCUUCCCAGGCCGUCGCGCUCCUGGCCGCGCACCCAGCCAGGGACCCAGAGGCCCUCAGCCCCGGGCUCUGCGCGUACACUGAGGGCGCGGCGCAGCAGGACAGCAAGAUAAGGAAGCAGAGACUGAAGGGAGGAAUCCCCGCUUUCCGGGGAUGAUGGCGUUCGAGUUGGGUCUGUGAGGGAUGAAAUAGGAGUUGGCCAGAGGGAGAGAGGGACUCUAGGCCUCGAGAAGAGCACGUGCAGAGGUUCCGUGACACGAAAACGCCAGGCUGGGAACUUCAGGAAAGCCAGG
rnacentral:lncRNA from 1 species